rnacentral:rRNA from 1 species
UACGGGGGGGGCAAGCGUUGUUCGGAAUUACUGGGCGUAAAGGGCUCGUAGGCGGCCAACUAAGUCAGACGUGAAAUCCCUCGGCUUAACCGGGGAACUGCAUCUGAUACUGGAUGGCUUGAGUUCGGGAGAGGGAUGCGGAAUUCCAGGUGUAGCGGUGAAAUGCGCAGAUAUCGGGAGGAACACCAGUAGCGAAGGCGGCUCGCUGGGCCAUACCUGACGCUGAGACGCGAAAGCGUGGGGAGCAAACAGG